AUUUUUAUGGUGUAUACCAACACAUAAUUUUUUCAAAAUUAAAAAGAAUCAAUAUUCUAAAAAUG
rnacentral:tRNA from 1 species